GUCUGGGUGGCUCAGUUGGUUAGAGCAUGGUGCUGAUGACACCAAGGCCGUGGGUUCGAUCCCCGUAUGGGACA